GUAUCGCGAGAAAACCCGGGAGUUGGAAAAAGGGAGUUAGGGGUGGCAGGCGAAAAGGUGCCGGCGGUUAUCACCUCAUGACAGCCGCGCUACCGCAUUCAGAGGGCCGCGAAGACCCGAGGGUGGGCGGUGAGGGGCUAGAAAGUAGUGUGUGGUUGGACUUUUCUUCUUUUCCGAGGGGAGAGGGUAGAGCGGCUAAGAAAUAGCGCUUCGGAACACACAGGAGGUGUCGCGCGUGCUUACACUGAGGAGCUUUUUCUCUUUGGAAGGGGGAGAAGCCCUUCUCCUCGACGCGCAUCCCUCUCUCCCGCGGCGCCGAGAGGGGCGGGAGGCGUGCGCGCGCUCUCGUUGGCUGGCCACUCGGCACCUCGCUGCGAUAGGGGCCGUUCCGAGUUGGGGCUGCUCCGUUGGCUUUCUCCGCCCCUCCCCCCUCUCCUGUCCUCCCCUCGCUUCCCCGCCCCCCUCCGCCCCUCUCUCCUACCCGUCCGAAUUCCGUGGCUGGAGUACGCGUGCGCCUGCUCAGCUCCCGGCAGAGCGCGAGCUUGGGCUCGUAACCCACUCCCCUCUCCCCGCCCGCUCUUUACCUACGGGCAGUAGCUGGCCCGGUGGGCUCGCGGGGAGACGCUCGCGCGCGCAGGCGCAAACGACACGGAGCGGAGCUCGAGACAUCGAGGAGUAAGAAGCAUCGGAGGAGGCGAUCGGGGAGGAGGACGUGUGUGUUUCCAGGGUACUUGUGCAGGAUGUGCAGGUUUGUUACAUAGAUAAUCGUGUGCCAUGGUGGUUCGCUGCACCUAUCAACCCAUCACCCAGAGUCUUGCUCUGUCACCCAGCCUGGAGUGUAAUGGCACAUUCUUGGCUCACUGCGACCUCUGCCUCUCGUGUUGAAGUGAUUCUCCUGCCUCAGCCUCCCGAGUAGCUGGGAUUACAGGCAAGCACCAUCACGCCUGGCUAACUUUUGUAUUUUUAGUAGAGAUGGGGUUUCUCCAUGUUGGUCAGACUGGUAUCCAAUUCCUGACCUCGGGUGAUCUGCCUGCCUUGGCUUCCCAAAGUGCUGGGAUUACAGGCGUGAGCCACCGUUCCUGGCCCCAUUUAAACCAUUUUAAAGUGUACACUUAUACAGUGCCAUUAGGUAACUUCACGAUGUUGUGCAGCUAACACCCCUCAAAUGGAAAUUCAGUACCCAGUAAGCAGUCAAUCUUCAUUCUCCCUUCCUCCAAGUCCCAGGUGACCAUUUGCCUAUUCUGGGUAUUUCACAUAAAUGGAAUCGUAUAAUAUAUGACCUUUUGUGUCUGGCUUUCACUCAGCAUGUUUUUGAGAUUCAUCUGUGUUGUGGCAUGUAGCAUUACUUUAUUCCCUUUUAUUCCCUUUAUGGCUGAGUAUUAUUCCAUUAUAUGGAUGUGUACUAUAUUUUGUUUAUCCAUUUAUCAGUUCAUGGAUAUUUGGGAUGUUCCCACCUUUUGGCUUUUGUGAAUAGUGCUGCUAUGAAUAUUUGUAUGCAAGUUUGGUUUGAAUACCUGUUUUCAUUUAUUUUGGAUAUACCUACGAGCGCAACUGCUAGGUCAUAUGUAAUCCUAUGUUACAUUUUGUUUGGAGACAGGGCUUUGUUGCCCAGGCUGGAAUGCAGUGGCACAAUCAUAGCUUAGGGCGUUUUCAACCACCCAGGCUGAGGUGAUCCUCCCACUUCAGCCUCCUGAGUAGCUGGGAUUAUAGGUAUGGGUCACACACCCCACGCUAGGCUAAUUUUUUACUUUUGGUAGAGACAGGGUCUCCCUAUGUUGCCCAGGCUGGUCAUGAACUCCUGGGCUCAAGUGAUCCUCCUGCUUUAGCCACUGUGCCCAGCCAUAUGUUAAACUUGUUGAGAAACCACCAAACUGUUUUCCAUAGCAUUUGCACCAAUUUUCAUUGCUAUGAGCCAUGUAUGAGGGUUCCAU